AUCUGCCUCCGAAUCGGGGAUAACAUUGCGAAAGCGAUGCUAAUACCGGAUAAAAUCUGGUUGGCUUCGGUGAACCGGAUCAAAGGUGGUCUCUUUAUAAAAGCUACCGUUUGGAGAUGAGCUCGCGUACCAUUAGCUAGUUGGUGAGGUAAAGGCUCACCAAGGCGACGAUGGUUAGCUGGUCUGAGAGGAUGAUCAGCCACACCGGAACUGGAACACGGUCCGGACUCCUACGGGAGGCAGCAGUGAGGAAUUUUGCGCAAUGGGGGAAACCCUGACGCAGCAACGCCGCGUGAGUGAUGAAGGCUUUCGGGUCGUAAAGCUCUGUCAGGUGGGAAGAACCCACCAAGUGUUAAGACCACUUGGUGCUGACGGUACCACCGGAAGGAAGCACCGGCUAACUCCGUGCCAGCAGCCGCGGUAAUACGGGGGGUGCGAGCGUCAUUCGGAAUCAUUGGGCGUCAAGGGCGCGCAGGCGGUUUUGUAAGUCAGAUGUGAAAUCCCGGGGAUUAACACAGGAAGUGCAUAUGAAACUAUGAGACUUGAGUAUGGGAGAGGGAAGCGAAAUUCCUGGUGUAGCGGUGAAAUGCGUAGAUAUCAAGAAGAACACAGGUGCGCAAAGGCGGCUUCCUGGACCAAUACUGACGCUGAGGCGCGAAGGCAUGGGGAGCGAACAGGAUUAGAUACCCUGGUAGUCCACGCAGUAAACGUUGAUCACUAGGUGUAGCGGGUAUUGACGCCUGCUGUGCCGGAGUUAACGCAUUAAGUGAUCCGCCUGGGGAGUACGAUCGCAAGAGUAAAACUCAAAGGAAUUGACGGGGGACCGCACAAGCGGUGGAGCAUGUGGUAUAAUUCGACGCAACGCGAAGAACCUUACCUGGACUUGACAUCUCGGGAAUUCCGUUGAAAGACGGGAGUGCCUUUAACGAGGAAUCCGAUGACAGGUGCUGCAUGGCUGUCGUCAGCUCGUGUCGUGAGAUGUUGGGUUAAGUCCCGCAACGAGCGCAACCCCUAUCUUCAGUUACCAUCAGGUAAAGCUGGGGACUUUGGAGAUACUGCCCCGGUUAACGGGGAGGAAGGUGGGGAUGACGUCAAGUCCUCAUGGCCUUUAUGUCCAGGGCUACACACGUGCUACAAUGGUAUGUACAAAGGGAAGCGAUCCCGCGAGGAGGAGCUAAUCCCAAAAAGCAUAUCAAAGUUCGGAUCGGAGUCUGCAACUCGACUCCGUGAAGUUGGAAUCGCUAGUAAUCGCGGAUCAGCAUGCCGCGGUGAUACGUUCCCGGGCCUUGUACACACCGCCCGUCACACCAUGAGAGUUGGCUGUACCAGAAGU
rnacentral:rRNA from 1 species